CGUUGUCAUCCUACGGGAGGCAGCAGUGGGGAAUAUUGCACAAUGGGCGCAAGCCUGAUGCAGCCAUGCCGCGUGUGUGAAGAAGGCCUUCGGGUUGUAAAGCACUUUCAGUCGUGAGGAAGGUAGUGUAGUUAAUAGCUGCAUUAUUUGACGUUAGCGACAGAAGAAGCACCGGCUAACUCCGUGCCAGCAGCCGCGGUAAUACGGAGGGUGCGAGCGUUAAUCGGAAUUACUGGGCGUAAAGCGCAUGCAGGUGGUUUGUUAAGUCAGAUGUGAAAGCCCGGGGCUCAACCUCGGAAUAGCAUUUGAAACUGGCAGACUAGAGUACUGUAGAGGGGGUAGAAUUUCAGGUGUAGCGGUGAAAAUGCGUAGAGAUCUGAAGGAAUACCGGUGGCGAAGGCGGCCCCCUGGACAGAUACUGACACUCAGAUGCGAAAGCGUGGGGAGCAAACAGGAUUAGAUACCCUGGUAG
rnacentral:rRNA from 1 species